UACGAAGGGUGCAAGCGUUACUCGGAAUUACUGGGCGUAAAGCGUGCGUAGGUGGUGAGUUAAGUCUGAUGUGAAAUCCCCGGGCUCAACCUGGGAAUGGCAUUGGAUACUGGCUCGCUAGAGUGCGGUAGAGGGUGGUGGAAUUCCCGGUGUAGCAGUGAAAUGCGUAGAGAUCGGGAGGAACAUCCGUGGCGAAGGCGGCCACCUGGACCAACACUGACACUGAGGCACGAAAGCGUGGGGAGCAAACAGG
rnacentral:rRNA from 1 species